CGGCCAUAUAGCGUUAAAACCUCGGUUCCCGUAAAAUCACCGUUUCUCUUACGAUUACGUUAAGCAGCGUUAAGCCUGGUUAGUAGCUCGAUGGGUGACCUCUUGGGAAUACCAGAUGCUGCAAG